GUCUACUAGCCAGAGUCCCUCUGUGUGAGUCUCGUUGGGUGUGGCGCCCCGACCCAGUCUGCCCAGAAUGCGGGAGUGCCCACGUGAGUUUGUAGGCCUGGGUAUAACCAGAGUCUAGCCUAUGUGUCCGUUCCCAACAGGUGGGUGAAUCUCAGCAAGGUGUUGUGUGUUAUCACCUGUUCGCAUGUGUACAGUAGCAUGACCUGUCUGUGUCUGUUCCGGAUGUUCCAUAUAGUAUAUCUAUGUGAAAUGGCCAGUUGGACCUGUGGGUCUGGUAUCGG